AGUCCUGUUCAUCCUGUGACUGAGGGAGCUUCUGUUAGUCUGAGCUGCAGUUUGAAAACACAAAAAAUACUUUCCAAUGUGUUUUUCUAUCACAAUGACAAACUUAUUCAAAAUGAUCCCCGAGGGGAGCUGAAGAUCUCUGCAGUGUCAAAGUCUGAUGAAGGUUUCUACAAGUGUCAGUACUCAGGAAGAGAGUCAGCACAGAGCUGGAUGUCAGUUAAAGGAGCUGACAGCUCUUCAUCUCCUGUGUGGUUGAUUGUUGGACUGGUUUGUGGAGUCUCUCUCAUUAUUAUUCUCCUGCUCUUGUUGUAUCGCUGCAGACAGUCCAAGUAUUCCUGCUUCACCAGGUCGAUCCAGUCUGAGAGUCACAGUCC